rnacentral:rRNA from 1 species
CUGCGGCAGCGAACGUAUCACCCAAGACAACUUUACGGAGUUGACGAUUGACGGAGCGAAGCGACGUCAAAGCGUUCAUUAAAGUCGAGUUGGCUUAGGGAUACGUUCGUUGGGUAGGGGAGCGUUCUGUAAGCCUGUGAAGGUGUGUCGUGAGGCAUGCUGGAGGUAUCAGAAGUGCGAAUGCUGACAUAAGUAACGAUAAAGCGGGUGAAAAGCCCGCUCGCCGGAAGACCAAGGGUUCCUGUCCAACGUUAAUCGGGGCAGGGUGAGUCGACCCCUAAGGCGAGGCCGAAAGGCGUAGUCGAUGGGAAACGGGUUAAUAUUCCCGUACUUGGUGUUACUGCGAAGGGGGGACGGAGAAGGCUAUGUUGGCCGGGCGACGGUUGUCCCGGUUUAAGCGUGUAGGUGUGUGUUCCAGGUAAAUCCGGUUCACUUUAACACUGAGGCGUGACGACGAGGCACUACGGUGCUGAAGCAACAAAUGCCCUGCUUCCAGGAAAAGCCUCUAAGCAUCAGGUAACAUCAAAUCGUACCCCAAACCGACACAGGUGGUCAGGUAGAGAAUACCAAGGCGCUUGAGAGAACUCGGGUGAAGGAACUAGGCAAAAUGGUGCCGUAACUUCGGGAGAAGGCACGCUGACACGUAGGUGAAGUGAUUUACUCAUGGAGCUGAAGUCAGUCGAAGAUACCAGCUGGCUGCAACUGUUUAUUAAAAACACAGCACUGUGCAAACACGAAAGUGGACGUAUACGGUGUGACGCCUGCCCGGUGCCGGAAGGUUAAUUGAUGGGGUCAGCGCAAGCGAAGCUCCUGAUCGAAGCCCCGGUAAACGGCGGCCGUAACUAUAACGGUCCUAAGGUAGCGAAAUUCCUUGUCGGGUAAGUUCCGACCUGCACGAAUGGCGUAAUGAUGGCCAGGCUGUCUCCACCCGAGACUCAGUGAAAUUGAACUCGCUGUGAAGAUGCAGUGUACCCGCGGCAAGACGGAAAGACCCCGUGAACCUUUACUAUAGCUUGACACUGAACAUUGAGCCUUGAUGUGUAGGAUAGGUGGGAGGCUUUGAAGUGUGGACGCCAGUCUGCAUGGAGCCGACCUUGAAAUACCACCCUUUAAUGUUUGAUGUUCUAACGUGGGCCCGUUA